rnacentral:rRNA from 1 species
UACGUAGGGUGCGAGCGUUGUCCGGAAUUAUUGGGCGUAAAGAGCUCGUAGGCGGUCUGUCGCGUCGAUCGUGAAAACUUGGGGCUUAACCCUGAGCUUGCGGUCGAUACGGGCAUGACUGGAGUUCGGCAGGGGAGACUGGAAUUCCUGGUGUAGCGGUGGAAUGCGCAGAUAUCAGGAGGAACACCGGUGGCGAAGGCGGGUCUCUGGGCAGUAACUGACGCUGGAGGAGCGAAAGCGUGGGGAGCGAACAGG